CUCCUACGGGAGGCAGCAGUGGGGAAUUUUGGACAAUGGGGGCAACCCUGAUCCAGCAAUGCCGCGUGUGUGAAGAAGGCCUGAGGGUUGUAAAGCACUUUCAGUGGGGAGGAGGAUUAUUUGGUUAAGAGCUGAGUAAUUAGACGUUACCCACAGAAGAAGCACCGGCU
rnacentral:rRNA from 1 species